rnacentral:rRNA from 1 species
UUGACCUCGAAUCAGGUAGGAAUACCCGCUGAACUUAAGCAUAUCAAUAAGCGGAGGAAAAGAAACCAACCGGGAUUACCUCAGUAACGGCGAGUGAAGCGGUAACAGCUCAAAUUUGAAAUCUGGCUCUUCCGGAGUCCGAGUUGUAAUUUGUAGAAGAUGCUUUGGGUUGUGGGUUCGGCCUAAGUUCCUUGGAACAGGACGUCAUAGAGGGUGAGAAUCCCGUAUGUGGCCGAGGCCCGCGCCUAUGUAAAGCUCUUUCAACGAGUCGAGUUGUUUGGGAAUGCAGCUCAAAAUGGGUGGUAAAUUUCAUCUAAAGCUAAAUAUGGGCCAGAGACCGAUAGCGCACAAGUAGAGUGAUCGAAAGAUGAAAAGCACUUUGGAAAGAGAGUUAAACAGUACGUGAAAUUGUUGAAAGGGAAGCGCUUGCAACCAGACUUGGGCGCUGCCGAUCACCUUGAGUUUUCUCGAGUGCACUCGACAGCGCACAGGCCAGCAUCGGUUCGGGUGGCUGGAUAAAGGCCGUAGGAAUGUGGCUCUCUUCGGGGAGUGUUAUAGCCUACGGUGCCAUGCAGCCCAGCCGGACCGAGGACCGCGCCUUCGGGCUAGGAUGCUGGCGUAAUGGUUGUAAGCGACCCGUCUUGAAACACGGACCAAGGAGUCUAACAUCUAUGCGAGUGUUUGGGUGGUAAACCCAUACGCGGAAUGAAAGUGAACGUAGGUGAGAACCCC